rnacentral:misc_RNA from 1 species
GCAAACUUGGUCAUUUAGAGGAAGUAAAAGUCGUAACAAGGUUUCCGUAGGUGAACCUGCGGAAGGAUCAUUAUUGAAAUCAUAUAAGUUGAAGAUCCAGAAAUUGUUGUCGCUGGCAAAAAGCAAUUUGUUUUUUCGCAUUGUGCACACAAGUUUUGACUUCACACUCUACACAUACCCCUGUGAACUAUUAUGGAAAAACAGUUGCUCCGGUGACUUUAUAUUUCCAUUUAAUACACACACACUUUGAAUGUAUUUUUUGUUUGUUGGCAUAUAAUAAAUAUACAACUUUCAACAACGGAUCUCUUGGCUCUCGCAUCGAUGAAGAACGCAGC